ensembl:miRNA
UAUGGCUUUUUAUUCCUAUGUGAUUCUACUGCUCACUCAUAUAGGGAUUGGAGCCAUGGCGC